rnacentral:misc_RNA from 1 species
CAAUUUCGUGUUAUUGUUCCUCAAAUCACAAUCCUAGUCGUUUACUGUACUUUAUGCUUCCAAGAAAGCGGCCUGUUGACUGCGUGCUUGUAGAAGGAGAAGAAGAGAACGGAAGCAAAACAGCAGGUUCUACCUCGAUUAAGAAGCAUCGGUUCGGUUGCGUUUUGGAAUCAACGGAAAACGCUACAACUACCACCAACAACAUCAACACUAGCAUCGUUGGCAACAACAGCGACAACAGUAGUAGCGAUUUGAUUAUGGCGCCUGGUGAUGCAAAUCUGGGUGAUAUUGAUGAGGAUCUGCACAGCCGGCAACUUGCUGUGUAUGGCCGUGAAACCAUGCGGCGGCUUUUUGCCUCCAAUGUCCUAGUCUCGGGCAUGCAAGGUCUUGGUGCUGAGAUUGCUAAAAACCUUAUUCUUGCUGGGGUCAAGUCUAUAGCAUUGCACGAUGAAGGGGAGGUUGAGCUGUGGGAUUUAUCCGGUAAUUUUGUUUUUUCUGAGAAAGAUGUUGGAAAGAACAGGGCAUUAGCUUCUGUUCAGAAGUUGCAGGAACUCAAUAAUGCAGUGGUUGUUUCGACCUUAACUACGGAACUAACAAAAGAGAAACUUUCUGAUUUCCAGGCUGUUGUUUUUACUGAUAUCAAUCUUAAGAAGGCCAUUGAGUUUAAUGACUACUGCCAUAGUCAUAAGCCGCCUAUCUCUUUCAUUAAGGCUGAAGUUAGAGGUCUUUUUGGUUCUGUGUUUUGUGACUUUGGACCUGAAUUCACAGUUUUUGAUGUUGAUGGAGAGGAUCCACACACGGGUAUAAUUGCAUCCAUCAGCAAUGACAACCCUGCUCUAGUAUCAUGUGUGGAUGAUGAGAGGCUUGAGUUUGAGGAUGGGGAUCUUGUUGUAUUCUCUGAAGUUCAUGGAAUGACAGAGCUAAAUGAUGGAAAGCCAAGGAAGAUUAAAAAUGCUAGGCCAUAUUCCUUUACUCUUGACGAGGAUACCUUAAAAUUUGGUACCUAUGAGAAAGGUGGCAUUGUAACACAGGUAAAACAACCCAAGAUGUUGAACUUUAAGCCACUGAAGGAAGCACUUAAAGAUCCUGGUGAUUUUCUUUUGAGCGAUUAUUCCAAGUUUGAUCGCCCAACUCUCCUACAUCUAGCAUUUCAGGCACUGGAUAAGUUUUUGUCAGAAUUAGGUCGGUUCCCUGUUGCUGGUUCAGAAGAGGAUGCUCAGAAGCUUAUAACUUUGACUGCUAACAUCAAUGAACGCUUGGAAGAUGGAAGAGUGGAGGACAUUGAUCCAAAACUUCUUAGACAUUUUGCCUUUGGUGCCAGGGCUGUGCUGAAUCCCAUGGCUGCUAUGUUUGGUGGCAUUGUGGGACAAGAGGUUGUCAAAGCAUGUUCUGGAAAAUUUCAUCCUCUCUUUCAGUUUUUCUAUUUUGACUCGUUGGAGUCACUUCCUACGGAGAAUUUGGAUCCCAGUGCUUUUCAACCAUUAAAUAGCCGUUUUGAUGCACAAAUUUCAGUUUUUGGAUCUAAGCUCCAGAAGAAAUUAGAGGAUGCCAAUGUGUUCAUUGUAGGAUCUGGUGCAUUAGGCUGUGAAUUCUUGAAAAAUGUAGCAUUAAUGGGUGUUUCAUGUGGGAAAGAAGGAAGGUUGACAAUAACUGAUGAUGAUGUGAUAGAGAAAAGUAACUUAAGUAGGCAGUUUCUCUUCCGUGAUUGGAACAUUGGGCAGGCCAAAUCCACAGUUGCUGCUGCUGCUGCUGCAUCAAUAAAUCCUAGUCUCAACAUUGAAGCAUUGCAAAAUCGUGUGGGCCCUGAAACUGAGAAUGUAUUUGAUGAUACAUUUUGGGAGAAUUUAACUGUUGUCAUAAAUGCUUUAGACAAUGUAAAUGCAAGAUUAUAUGUUGAUCAAAGAUGCUUGUACUUCCAGAAGCCACUCCUUGAGUCUGGAACCCUGGGUGCCAAAUGCAACACCCAGAUGGUCAUUCCUCACCUGACUGAAAACUAUGGUGCCUCUAGAGAUCCACCUGAGAAGCAAGCACCCAUGUGCACAGUCCAUUCAUUCCCCCACAAUAUUGACCACUGCUUGACAUGGGCUCGGUCAGAGUUUGAAGGUUUGCUUGAGAAAACUCCAGCAGAAGUGAAUGCCUAUCUAUCCAACCCGGUUGAAUAUGCUACUGCUAUGGCUAAUGCCGGUGAUGCUCUGGCCAGGGAUACCUUGGAACGUGUUCUUGAGUGUCUUGACAAGGAAAAGUGUGAGACAUUCCAAGAUUGCAUUACAUGGGCUCGAUUAAAGUUUGAAGAUUAUUUUGCUAAUCGUGUGAAGCAGUUGAUUUAUACAUUUCCCGAAGAUGCUGCAACUAGUACUGGGACACCAUUCUGGUCUGCUCCAAAGCGGUUUCCUCAUCCACUUGAGUUCUCAGCUUCUGAUCCUGGUCACCUCCAUUUUGUCAUGUCAGCAUCCAUACUUCGAGCAGUGUCUUUUGGCAUUCCAGUUCCUGACUGGGUCAAGAAUCCUAAGAUGUUGGCUGAGGCUGUUGAGAAGGUCAUAGUACCAGAAUUUCAACCAAAGAAAGAUGUGAAAAUUGUGACGGAUGAAAAGGCUACUAGUCUUGCUACUGCAUCUGCAGAUGAUAUUGUUAUUAUCAAUGAACUAAUCAAGAGAUUAGAGCAGUGCAGGAAGAAUUUGCCACCAGGAUACAGGAUGAAGCCAAUUCAGUUUGAGAAGGAUGAUGAUACAAACUUCCAUAUGGAUGUGAUAGCUGCGCUUGCCAACAUGAGAGCAAGAAACUACAGCAUUCCUGAGGUUGAUAAGCUGAAAGCCAAGUUUAUUGCAGGAAGGAUCAUUCCUGCCAUUGCUGUCGAGGUUGCAAUAGC